GACGAACGCUGGCGGCGUGCUUAAUACAUGCAAGUCGAACGAAGUGGCGAACGGGUGAGUAACGCGUAAUCAACCUGCCCUUCAGAGGGGGACAACAGUUGGAAACGACUGCUAAUACCGCAUAUUGCAGGAGGGCAUUGCGUCUGAUUAGCUAGGUGGAGGUGGAACGGCCCACCAAGGCGAUGAUCAGUAGCCGGUCUGGGAGGAUGAACGGCCAAAGUUGUACUGAGACACGGCCCAGACUCCUACGGGAGGCAGCGGUUGGGACGCUUCCGCAAUGGACGAAAGUCUGACGGAGCAACGCCGCGUGAGUGAUGACGGCCUUCGGGUUGUAAAGCUCUGUUAAUCGGGACGCGGUACCGAAAUAGAAAGCCACGGCUAACUACGUGCCAGCAGCCGCGGUAAUAC
rnacentral:rRNA from 1 species